GAUUUCUGGCGUGGUGCCUCUCGUCCGCCGGCUUAGGCCGCGUGAGUACGGGGGUUUUGUGCCUGCCAUCCUUCCGGGGAGCGCGUCUGCCCUUCACUGGGUCGGGCGCGCGGCCUGGAUCGUUUACUUUGAAAAAAUUAGAGUGUUUAAAGCAGGCGAUUGCCUCUGAAUACAUUAGCAUGGAAUAAUAAAAUAGGACUUUGGUUCUAUUUUGUUGGCUUCUAGAACUGAAGUAAUGAUUGAUAGGGACAGUUGGGGGUGCUAGUAUUCGACGGCCAGAGGUGAAAUUCUUGGAUUCGUUGAAGACUAACUAAUGCGAAAGCAUU
rnacentral:rRNA from 2 species